rnacentral:miRNA from 8 species
AACCACUAGCUCUACUGCCUGG